UGGAAGGCCUGGCUCGGGACCGCGGAAAGGAGCAUGGCCAGGAUGCAUAGGGGGCGCAGGGCGUACAGCGGCUUCUCGGGCAUGGUCAGGACGCCACUCAGGCAGUUGUAGAGGGUGUGGCCGGUGAGAAGGAGGAGGCCCGGGUCGUCAAUGUAGUAGGCCAGGUGCAGGCC
rnacentral:snRNA from 16 species